rnacentral:rRNA from 1 species
AGAGCGAACGCUGGCGGCAGGCCUAACACAUGCAAGUCGAGCGCCCCGCAAGGGGAGCGGCAGACGGGAGAGUAACACGUGGGAACGUACCCUUUGGUUCGGAACAACCCAGGGAAACUUGGGCUAAUACCGAAUAAGCCCUUACGGGGAAAGAUUUAUCGCCAAAGGAUCGGCCCGCGUCUGAUUAGCUAGUUGGUGAGGUAACGGCUCACCAAGGCGACGAUCAGUAGCUGGUCUGAGAGGAUGAUCAGCCUCACUGGGACUGAGACACGGCCCCAGACUCCUACGGGAGGCAGCAGUGGGGAAUAUUGGACAAUGGCGCAAGCCUGAUCCAGCCAUGCCGCGUGGGUGAUGAAGGCCCUAGGGUUGUAAAGCCCUUUCGGCGGGGAAGAUAAUGACGGUACCGCAAGAAUAAGCCCCGGCUAACUUCGCGCCAGCAGCCGC